CUGGAGGGAACUAUUAUGAGGGAUUAGAUGUGAACUAAGCAACUGAAGAGUGCAUUGAAUUACACUUUGUGAGUAGAAAUAUUAAACAAAUAGUGUUUAUCUUUCCAUUCAACAGGCAGAGUUUUUUGCCAAGAGGGAGCAUGAGGGAGUGGUACAGAUGCUGGAGUCUAAGGUGCGGGAGUUGGAGGAUAAGUGUCACAGCCAGAGUGAACAGUUCAGCCUGCUCAGCCAUGAGCUGGAGACCUUCAGACUACAGGCUGGCAAACUGGACCUGUCUGGCUCCACCAUCCUCACUAACCCCCCUCUCUGCCAUCUGACCAAUGGGGUGGGCCUCACCGGAGAUGUGGCAGCAACUCUACAGAUGGGGGCCACCCCUCACGCUGCGGGUCUCACACGCUCCCCCACCGUAAAGCACCGUGAGCUGCCCACCAUCAGCCUGACCAAGUCCUCCAGCACCCCCAAGUCUGCCUCUGAUACCACCCACCUCUCCCCCAAGUCAGCCGAGUCCCACCACAGCCCCCACCACAGCCCACACCACAGCCCACGCAGGACCAGUCCCACGCCACACGAGGUGAGAGCUCCAGCCCUGUUUCAUAUCAUUCAAUCACUACUCACUAAGGAGAAUCACCACUUACUAGGUAGAAUCACUGCUCACU
rnacentral:lncRNA from 1 species